rnacentral:rRNA from 1 species
UACGAAGGGGCUAGCGUUGCUCGGAAUCACUGGGCGUAAAGCGCACGUAGGCGGAUUGUUAAGUCAGGGGUGAAAUCCUGGAGCUCAACUCCAGAACUGCCUUUGAUACUGGGGAUCUCGAGUCCGGGAGAGGUGAGUGGAACUGCGAGUGUAGAGGUGAAAUUCGUAGAUAUUCGCAAGAACACCAGUGGCGAAGGCGGACUCACUGGCCCGGAACUGACGCUGAGG